rnacentral:rRNA from 1 species
UACGUAGGGGGGCAAGCGUUGUCCGGAUUUAUUGGGCGUAAAGAGCGUGUAGGCGGUUUGGUAGGUCCGUUGUGAAAACUCGAGGCUCAACCUCGAGACGCCGAUGGAAACCAUCAGACUAGAGUCCGGAAGAGGAGAGUGGAAUUCCUGGUGUAGCGGUGAAAUGCGCAGAUAUCAGGAAGAACACCCGUGGCUAAGGCGGCUCUCUAGUACGGUACUACGACGCGAGACGCGAAAGCGUGGGGAGCGAACAGG